rnacentral:rRNA from 1 species
UACGGGGGGGGGCAAGCGUUGUUCGGAAUUACUGGGCGUAAAGGGCUCGUAGGCGGCCAACUAAGUCAGACGUGAAAUCCCUCGGCUUAACCGGGGAACUGCGUCUGAUACUGGAUGGCUUGAGUUCGGGAGAGGGAUGCGGAAUUCCAGGUGUAGCGGUGAAAUGCGUAGAUAUCAGGAGGAACACCGAUGGCGAAGGCAGGUCUCUGGGCCACUACUGACGCUGAGAAGCGAAAGCAUGGGGAGCGAAC